rnacentral:rRNA from 1 species
GGCCGCAGUAUUUUGACUGUGCAAAGGUAGCAUAAUCAUUAGUCUAUUAAUUGUGGACUUGUAUGAAUGGUUUGACGAGAUAAUUACUGUCUCGUUUAUAUUAGUAGAAUUUGAAUUUUAAGUUAAAAUGCUUAAAUUUUUUUAUGGGACGAGAAGACCCUAUAGAUCUUUAGUAUAUUUUUAUAUUAGUUAUUUUGUUUAUUAUUUUCUUAUUUUGAGGUUUAUUUUUAUUGGGGUGAUAUUAGGAAUUAUUUAACUCUUAUUUUUAGUUAUUACUUAUUUGUAUUUAUUUGAACUUUAUUAUUGUUUAUAAGAUAAAGAUACCUUAGGGAUAACAGCGUUAUUUUUCUUGAGAGUUCAUAUCGACAGGAGAGAUUGCGACCUCGAUGUUGGAUUAAGAUUAUUAUUAGGUGUAGGUGCUUAAUUAAUAGGUCUGUUCGACCUUUUAAAUCUUACAUGAUCUGAGUUCAAACCGG